UACGUAGGGGGCAAGCGUUGUCCGGAAUCAUUGGGCGUAAAGAGCGUGUAGGCGGCCCGAUAAGUCCGCUGUGAAAGUCCAGGGCUCAACCCUGGAAUGCCGGUGGAUACUGUCGGGCUCGAAUCCGGAAGAGGUGAGUGGAAUUCCUGGUGUAGCGGUGAAAUGCGCAGAUAUCAGGAGGAACACCCGUGGCGAAGGCGGCUCUCUGGGGACGGUACUGACGCUGAGACGCGAAAGCGUGGGGAGCGAACAGG
rnacentral:rRNA from 1 species